rnacentral:rRNA from 1 species
UACGUAGGAGGCAAGCGUUGUCCGGAAUUACUGGGUGUAAAGCGCGUGUAGGUGGUGGGCCAAGUCUGUGGUGAAAUCGCCCGGCUCAACUGGGCGGGGUCCGUGGAAACUGGUCGACUGGAGGACGGUAGAGGCGAGUGGAAUUCCCGGUGUAGUGGUGAAAUGCGUAGAGAUCGGGAGGAACACCAGUGGCGAAGGCGGCGAUCUGGGAAGAUACUGACGCUGAGGUGCGAAAGCGUGGGGAGCAAACAGG